UUUGAUCCUGGCUCAGAGCGAACGCUGGCGGCAUGCUUAACACAUGCAAGUCGCACGAAGGUUUCGGCCUUAGUGGCGGACGGGUGAGUAACGCGUAGGAAUCUAUCCACGGGUGGGGGAUAACUUCGGGAAACUGAAGCUAAUACCGCAUGAUACCUGAGGGUCAAAGGCGCAAGUCGCCUGUGGAGGAGCCUGCGUUUGAUUAGCUUGUUGGUGGGGUAAUGGCCUACCAAGGCGAUGAUCGAUAGCUGGUUUGAGAGGAUGAUCAGCCACACUGGGACUGAGACACGGCCCAGACUCCUGCGGGAGGCAGCAGUGGGGAAUAUUGGACAAUGGGGGCAACCCUGAUCCAGCAAUGCCGCGUGUGUGAAGAAGGUUUUCGGAUUGUAAAGCACUUUCGGCGGGGACGAUGAUGACGGUACCCGCAGAAGAAGCCCCGGCUAACUUCGUGCCAGCAGCCGCGGUAAUACGAAGGGGGCUAGCGUUGCUCGGAAUGACUGGGCGUAAAGGGCGUGUAGGCGGUUUGUACAGUCAGAUGUGAAAUCCCCGGGCUUAACCUGGGAGCUGCAUUUGAUACGUGCAAACUAUAGUGUGACAGAGGGUUGUGGAAUUCCCAGUGUAGAGGUGAAAUUCGUAGAUAUUGGGAAGAACACCGGUGGCGAAGGCGGCAACCUGGCUCAUAACUGACGCUGAGGCGCGAAAGCGUGGGGAGCAAACAGGAUUAGAUACCCUGGUAGUCCACGCUGUAAACGAUGUGUGCCAGAUGUUGGGUAACUUACUUAUUCAGUGUCGUAGUUAACGCGUUAAGCACACCGCCUGGGGA
rnacentral:rRNA from 1 species